rnacentral:rRNA from 1 species
UGGCAAGCGUUGCUCGGAAUCACUGGGCGUAAAGAGCGCGUAGGCGGGAUAGCAAGUCAGAUGUGAAAUCCUAUGGCUUAACCAUAGAACUGCAUUUGAAACUGUUAUUCUAGAGUAUGGGAGAGGUAGGUGGAAUUCUUGGUGUAGGGGUAAAAUCCGUAGAGAUCAAGAGGAAUACUCAUUGCGAAGGCGACCUGCUGGAACAUAACUGACGCUGAUGCGCGAAAGCGUGGGGAGCAAACA